CACGUAGGGGGCGAGCGUGUCCGGAUUUAUUGGGCGUAAAGAGCUCGUAGGCGGUUCACUAAGUCGGGUGUGAAACCUCCAGGCUCAACCUGGAGACGCCACCUGAUACUGGUGUGACUAGAGUCCGGUAGGGGAGUGUGGAACUCCUGGUGUAGCGGUGAAAUGCGCAGAUAUCAGGAGGAACACCGAUGGCGAAGGCAGAUCUCUGGGCCGUAACUGACGCUGAGGAGCGAAAGCGUGGGGAGCGAACAGG
rnacentral:rRNA from 1 species